UACGGGGGGAGCAAGCGUUGUUCGGAUUUACUGGGCGUAAAGGGCGCGUAGGCGGCCACCGCAAGUCGGUUGUGAAAUCUCUGGGCUUAACCCAGAAAGGUCAACCGAUACUGCGGGGCUAGAGUGCAGAAGGGGCAACUGGAAUUCUCGGUGUAGCGGUGAAAUGCGUAGAUAUCGUGAGGAAGACCAGUGGCGAAGGCGGAUCUCUGGACAGUUCCUGACGCUGAGGCGCGAAGGCCAGGGGAGCAAACGGG
rnacentral:rRNA from 1 species